GACCCGCGAAGAUCGUGCUCGCGCUUGAGCCGUCGCGCCCCCCGCGAGCGUCUCAAGGAG
rnacentral:misc_RNA from 1 species